UUGGACCUCAGAUCAGGCAAGAUCACCCGCUGAGUUUAAGCAUAUCACUAAGCGGAGGAAAAGAAACUAACAAGGAUUUCCUUAGUAACGGCGAGCGAACCGGAAGUAGCCCAGC
rnacentral:rRNA from 1 species